rnacentral:rRNA from 1 species
UACGUAGGGGGCAAGCGUUGUCCGGAAUCAUUGGGCGUAAAGAGCGUGUAGGCGGCCCGGUAAGUCCGCUGUGAAAGUCCAGGGCUCAACCCUGGGAUGCCGGUGGAUACUGUCGGGCUCGAGUCCGGAAGAGGAGUGUGGAAUUCCAGGUGUAGCGGUGAAAUGCGUAGAUAUCUGGAGGAACACCGGUGGCGAAGGCGGCAUUCUGGACCGACAUUGACGCUGAGGAGCGAAAGCCAGGGGAGCAAACGGG